GAUGAACGCUGGCGGCGUGCCUAACACAUGCAAGUCGAGCGAAGCGAUCUGAUGGAAGUUUUCGGAUGGAAGUCAGAUUGACUGAGCGGGCGUGGGCAAGGACGGUCGGUAACUAGGCUCAUACAGGGAUAACAGUUAGAAAUGGCUGCUAAUACCGCAUAAGCACACAGGACCGCAUUGGUCCGGUGUGAAAAACUCCGGUGGUAUGAGAUGGACCCGCGUCUGAUUAGCUAGUUGGAAGGUAACGGCUUACCAAGGCGACGAUCAGUAGCCGACCUGAGAGGGUGACCGGCCACAUUGGGACUGGAAGACACGGCCCAA
rnacentral:rRNA from 1 species